GGAAGGAUCAUUAAUGAGUGCAGGCCCUCUGGGUCUAACCUCCCACCCGUGUCUAUUGUACCUUGUUGCUUCGGUGGGCCCGCCUGACGCCAGGCCGCCGGGGGGCACUCCCCGGGCGCGCGCCCGCCGAAGACACCCUGGAACUCUGUCUGUGAGUGUUGUCUGAGUGGGAUUGUAAUCAGUUAAAACUUUCAACAACGGAUCUCUUGGUUCCGGCAUCGAUGAAGAACGCAGCGAAAUGCGAUAAGUAAUGUGAAUUGCAGAAUUCAGUGAAUCAUCGAGUCUUUGAACGCACAUUGCGCCCCCUGGUAUUCCGGGGGGCAUGCCUGUCCGAGCGUCAUUGCACCCCUCAAGCCCGGCUUGUCCUUGGGUUGUGUCCCUCCGUUCCGGGGGGACAGGCCUCAAAUGCAAUGGCGGCACCGCGUCCGGUCCUCGAGCGUAUGGGGCUUUGUCACCCGCUUUGUAGGCCGGCCGGUCGCUUGCCCGUCAAGCACAACUUCUUAUGUUGACCUCGGAUCAGGUAGGGAUACCCGCUGAACUUAAGCAUAUCAAUAAGCGGAGGAAAAGAAACCAACAGGGAUUGCCUCAGUAACGGCGAGUGAAGCGGCAAGAGCUCAAAUUUGAAAGCUGGCUCCUUCGGGGUCCGCAUUGUAAUUUGCAGAGGAUGCUUCGGGAGCGGCCCCCAUCUAAGUGCCCUGGAACGGGCUGUCAUAGAGGGUGAGAAUCCCGUCUGGGAUGGGGUGCCCGCGCCCGUGUGAAGCUCCUUCGACGAGUCGAGUUGUUUGGGAAUGCAGCUCUAAAUGGGUGGUAAAUUUCAUCUAAAGCUAAAUAUUGGCCGGAGACCGAUAGCGCACAAGUAGAGUGAUCGAAAGAUGAAAAGCACUUUGAAAAGAGAGUUAAAAAGCACGUGAAAUUGUUGAAAGGGAAGCGCUUGCGACCAGACUCGCUCGCGGGGUUCAGCCGGCUCUCGGGCCUGGUGUACUUCCCCGUGGGCGGGCCAGCGUCGGUUUGGGCGGUCGGUCAAAGGCCCUUGGAAUGUAACGCCUCUCGGGGCGUCUUAUAGCCAAGGGUGCCAUGCGGCCAGCCCGGACCGAGGAACGCGCUUCGGCUCGGACGCUGGCAUAAUGGUCGUAAGCGACCCGUCUUGAAACACGGACCAAGGAGUCUAACAUCUACGCGAGUGUUCGGGUGUCAAACCCGUGCGCGCAGUGAAAGCGAACGGAGGUGGGAACCCCUCGGGGUGCACCAUCGACCGAUCCUGAUGUCUUCGGAUGGAUUUGAGUAAGAGCGUAGCUGUUGGGACCCGAAAGAUGGUGAACUAUGCCUGAAUAGGGCGAAGCCAGAGGAAACUCUGGUGGAGGCUCGCAGCGGUUCUGACGUGCAAAUCGAUCGUCAAAUUUGGGUAUAGGGGCGAAAGACUAAUCGAACCAUCUAGUAGCUGGUUCCUGC
rnacentral:misc_RNA from 1 species